GCGCCGUUGGUGCAACGGUUCAGCACACGCUAUCGGAAAAAGUGGGACAUGGGUUCGAAUCCCGGCUGAUGCA